rnacentral:rRNA from 1 species
AUACGUAGGUGGCAAGCGUUGUCCGGAAUUAUUGGGCGUAAAGCGCAUGUAGGCGGUUUGGUAAGUCGGUCGUGAAAAUGCGGUGCUUAACGCCGAAGGGCGAUCGAAACUGCUGAACUUGGGUGCGGGAGAGGAAAGGGGACCUCCCAGUGAAGCGGUGAAAUGGGUAGAUAUUGGGAAGAACACCGGUGGCGAAGGCGCCUUUCUGGACUGUGUCUGACGCUCAGAUGCGAAAGCCAGGGUAGCGAACGGGAUUAGAUACCCCGGUAGUCCUGGCCGUAAACGAUGGGUACUAGGUGUGGGAGGUAUCGACUCCUUCCGUGCCGGAGUUAACGCAAUAAGUACCCCGCCUGGGGAGUACGGCCGCAAGGCUUAAACUCAAAGGAAUUGACGGGG